UACGAAGGGGCUAGCGUUGCUCGGAAUCACUGGGCGUAAAGGGUGCGUAGGCGGGUCUUUAAGUCAGGGGUGAAAUCCUGGAGCUCAACUCCAGAACUGCCUUUGAUACUGAAGAUCUUGAGUUCGGGAGAGGUGAGUGGAACUGCGAGUGUAGAGGUGAAAUUCGUAGAUAUUCGCAAGAACACCAGUGGCGAAGGCGACUCACUGGACAGGUAUUGACGCUGAGGUGCGAAAGCGUGGGGAGCAA
rnacentral:rRNA from 1 species